rnacentral:rRNA from 1 species
AUCAACUUUCGAUGGUAGGAUAGAGGCCUACCAUGUGAACGGGUAACGGGGUGUUAGGGCACGACACCGGAGAGGGAGCCUGAGAAACGGCUACCACAUCCAAGGAUGGCAGCAGGCGCGCAAAUUACCCAAUCCCGAUGCGGGGAGGUAGUGACAAUAAAUAACAAUACGGGGCUCUUUUGGGUCUCGUAAUUGGAAUGAGUACAAUUUAAAUCUCUUAACGAGGAACAAUUGGAGGGCAAGUCUGGUGCCAGCAGCCGCGGUAAUUCCAGCUCCAAUAGUGUAUAUUAAAGUUGUUGCAGUUAAAAAGCUCGUAGUUGAAUUUCGGGGUCAGCAGGUUGGUCGUGCCACUGGUAUGCACUGGUUUCGCUGAUUCCUCCUUUCUGAAGAACUGUAAUGCCAUUAAUUUGAUGUUGCAGGGAAACAGGACUGUUACUUUGAAAAAAUUAGAGUGUUUAAAGCAGGCUAACGCUUGAAUACAUUAGCAUGGAAUAAUGAAAUAGGACGUUUGAUCCUAUUUUGUUGGUUUCUAGGAUUGACGUAAUGAUUAAUAGGGAUAGUUGGGGGCAUUAGUAUUCAAUUGUCAGAGGUGAAAUUCUUGGAUUUAUUGAAGACUAACUACUGCGAAAGCAUUUGCCRAGGAUGUUUUCAUUAAUCAAGAACGAAAGUUAGGGGAUCGAAGACGAUCAGAUACCAUCGUAGUCUUAACCAUAAACUAUGCCGACUAGGGAUCGGAUGAUGUUAAUUUUUUAAUGACUCAUUCGGCGCCUUACGGGAAACCAAAGUGUUUGGGUUC